GUGGGGGACAACAGUUGGAAACGACUGCUAAUACCGCAUGACACUUUUGGGGGACAUCCCUUAAAAGUCAAAGCUUUAUGUGCUGAAAGAUGGCCUCGCGUCUGAUUAGCUGGUUGGUGAGGUAACGGCUCACCAAGGCGACGAUCAGUAGCCGGUCUGAGAGGAUGAACGGCCACAUUGGGACUGAGAUACGGCCCAGACUCCUACGGGAGGCAGCAGUGGGGAAUAUUGGGCAAUGGGGGAAACCCUGACCCAGCAACGCCGCGUGAAGGAAGAAGGCCUUCGGGUUGUAAACUUCUUUUACCAGGGAC
rnacentral:rRNA from 1 species